AUUAGUGAACCUGAAGGAGGAUCUUCACAGACAGAGUACCCAGGGAUUCCUCAUUCAGAUACCAGAGGAACAUUGAGGACAUGGGAGAUUCUGUACAGAUAGACAGAUAUUUUUAACCUGGCACAUUGUGGGAUGCUCUGAAAGCCACACAAGGCAUGCAAGAUUUGCAGCGCAACGUCCUUUUUGAACUGUGGACACCAGAACCGGACAUAGUAUUCCAGCAGAGGCUACACCAGUGCCAAAUACAAAGAUAAAAUAACUUCUCUACUCCUACUCAAGAUUCCCCUGUUUAUGCAUCCAAGGAUCACAUGAGCCCUUUUGACCUGAGCAUCACACUGCGAGCUCAAGUUCAGCUGAUUAUCCGCCAUGACCUCCAAAUAUUUUUCAGAGCCACUGCUUCCCAAGACAGAGUCCCCCGCCAUACUAACACGGCUGUUCCUCUGAAACCUGUCAAAAGAUCUUUGUCUCCACAGACAAAAGGAUCACAUGACUUCUUCCAGCUGACCAGAAAAAGAGAGUGAGAACCCAAAGGAAGAUAUCUUUGCUUAGGUAAUGGAGUCAGUGGAAAGACUCCAACUGACUUCAAUGGGAGCUGAAGGAGGCUGUGAAUCUACAGUGGCGCAAACCACUUUCAUGGGAGAGUGAAGAGAAACUAGUAAUGUGCAAUUU